GGGGAGGUUCCCGAGUGGUCAAAGGGGGCAGACUGUAAAUCUGUUGGCUACGCCUUCGAAGGUUCAAAUCCUUCUCUCCCCA
rnacentral:tRNA from 2 species